UACGAAGGGGGCUAGCGGUGCGCGGAUUGACUGGGCGUAAAGGGCGCGUAGGCGGUUCGUACAGUCAGACGUGAAAUUCCUGGGCUCAACCUGGGGGCUGCGUUUGAUACGUGCGGACUUGAGUGCGGAAGAGGGUCGUGGAAUUCCCAGUGUAGAGGUGAAAUUCGUAGAUAUUGGGAAGACCACCGGUGGCGAAGGCGGCGACCUGGUCCGAUACUGACGCUGAGGCGCGAAAGCGUGGGGAGCAAACAGG
rnacentral:rRNA from 1 species